rnacentral:rRNA from 1 species
CCUACGGGCGGCAGCAGUGAGGAAUAUUGGUCAAUGGGCGCAAGCCUGAACCAGCCAAGUAGCGUGAGGGAUGAAGGCUCUACGGAUUGUAAACUUCUUUUAUAAAGGAAUAAAGUGAGGCACGUGUGCCUUUUUGUAUGUACUUUAUGAAUAAGGAUCGGCUAACUCCGUGCCAGCAGCCGCGGUAAUACGGAGGAUCCGAGCGUUAUCCGGAUUUAUUGGGUUUAAAGGGAGCGUAGAUGGGUUGUUAAGUCAGUGGUGAAAGUUUGAGGCUCAACCGUAAAAUUGCAAUUGAUACUGGCAGCCUUGAGUACAGUUGAGGCAGGCGGAAUUCGUGGUGUAGCGGUGAAAUGCUUAGAUAUCACGAAGAACCCCGAUUGCGAAGGCAGCCUGCUAAACUGUCACUGACACUGAUGCUCGAAAGCGUGGGGAGCAAACAGGAUUAGAUACCCUUGUAGUC